GAAAGCCCUAUUUCUAGCAAUAGACUUCAUACGAGGUGCUGCAUGGCUGUCGUCAGCUCGUGCCGUGAGGUGUUAGGUUAAGUCCUGCAACGAGCGCCAACCCCUGUUUCCAGUUGCCAUCAAGUAAAGUUGGGGACUCUGGAGAGACUGCCUGCGCAAGCAGAGAGGAAGGUGGGGAUGACGUCAAGUCAGCACGGCCCUUACGUCCAGGGCUACACACGUGCUACAAUGGCCGGUACAGAGGGCAGCGACCUGGUGACAGGUAGCGAAUCUCCAAAGCCGGUCUCAGUUCGGAUCGGAGUCUGCAACUCGACUCCGUGAAGCUGGAUUCGCUAGUAAUCGGAUAUCAGCAAUGAUCCGGUGAAUACGUUCCCGGGCCUU
rnacentral:rRNA from 1 species